rnacentral:lncRNA from 1 species
GCCCAUGCAAGUGUGUGUGUGUCUAGACAGCUAAAUGUUAACAAGUAUACUAGUGUUUCCAAUGCAGGUAGUAACUGAGAAACACCUACAUCUAAAGAAAGAGUUUCUAUUUUGCAUUUGUCUAUUCUAUCUUUUUUUGUUUUCCAUUUUCUUGGUAGAUCUUCCUCCAUCCUUUUAUUUUGAGCCUAUGUGUGUCUCUGCACAUGAGAUGGGUUUCCUGAAUACAGCACACUGACGGGUCUUGAAGGCCCCCACACCCCGACAGGCCCCGGUGUGUGAUGUUCCCCGCACUGUGUCCAAGUGAUCUCAUUGUGUUUCCAGCUUCAUCCAUGUCCCUGCAAAGGACAUGAACUCAUCCUUUUUUAUGGCUGCAUAGUAUUCCAUGGUGCAUAUGUGCCACAUUUUCUUAAUCUAGUCUAUCAUUGAUGGACAUUUGGGUUGCUUCUAACUCUUUGCUAUUGUGAAUAGUGCCACAAUAAACAUACGCGUGCACAUGCCU